rnacentral:lncRNA from 1 species
UCACUGUAAAAAUGCCUGCUCUCUAAAAUAUCUCAGUGGGGUUUUUUUGUUGCUGUUAACAGGUAAUGGCACACAUAUAUUACAAGAGGCAGAAGUGCACUAUAUUUCUCGGAAAUCUUGUAACUCGGAGAGGAGUUACGCAGGAGUGAUUCCUAACACUUCAUUUUGUGCAGGUGAUGAAAAUGGAGACUUUGAUACUUGCAGGUUAUGGAUUUGGCUGUGGUCGAAGAUAUUUUCCUGGUAUCUACAGCGGGCCAUCGUUCUACCAAAAGUGGCUGACAGAUCAUUUCUCCCAGGCAAAAGCUGAAGGCAUAUUUGAUGUAGGUAUUUUACGUGGACAGAUCCUCAUGGCUUUAGGUUUUAUCAUCUUACUAGCAACAACAUAAAGAAAUUCUGAAGACAAAUUCAUUUUGUAUUGUGUCCUCUUUUAUAUUACACAAAAUGAAAGCCAUUUCUUCGUUUAGCAAUUAAUUACAUUAGAGUUCUCAUGUGAACAUUUUUUUUGGGGGGAGGACUGUGACAUUAGACAUACAGUUGUAAAUCUGGCACCAAAUCACAUCCUUGGUAGAAUUGGAUUGUUUUGUGUUAUAAUCAUAAUUUUGUAUUUGGAAUACUUUCCUAUGUAUAAAAUACUCAAUUAAAUAUGUACUCUAUGUGUAUAAAUAUCAAAUAAUAAAGAGUUUAAAAUGAAACGGUUCUUUGGUU